rnacentral:rRNA from 1 species
CCUACGGGAGGCAGCAGGGAGGAAUAUUGGGCAAUGGACGAGAGUCUGAACCAGCAAAGAAGCGUGAAGGAUGACUGCCCUAUGGGUUGUAAACUUCUUUUAUAUGGGAAUAAAACGUUCCACGUGUGGGAUUUUGUAUGUACCAUAUGAAUAAGGAUCGGCUAACGCCGUGCCAGCAGCCGCGGUAAUACGGAGGAUCCGAGCGUUAUCCGGAUUUAUUGGGUUUAAAGGGAGCGUAGGUGGUUUGUUAAGUCAGUUGUGAAAGUUUGCGGCUCAACCGUAAAAUUGCAGUUGAAACUGGCAGUCUUGAGUACAGUAGAGGUGGGCGGAAUGCGUGGUGUAGCGGUGAAAUGCUUAGAUAUCACGAAGAACUCCGAUUGCGAAGGCAGUUCACUGGACUGCAACUGACACUGAGGCUCGAAAGUGUGGGUAUCAAACAGGAUUAGAUACCCGAGUAGUC